UAAAAGGCAAGAAUAUAUAUCCCCUGCCUUUGAAUGUGAUGGUCUCUGAUCAACAGACUGUGACACAAGUGACCUGAUGCUAGUUUCCAGGCCCAGGCCUUAAGAGACUGGCAGCUUCCAUAUUCCAUAUUCCAUAUUCCAUAUUCACUGGCAACACCAAUUCUGAUGCAGCCAGUGGCCAUGUUAGAAGCCUGCCUACACUAUGAUCACUAUGCUAUGAGGAUGCCCAUGCUAGCCACAUAGAGGUGCUGCAUAAAGUAACUGAUGUCUGACCAGCCCCAGCUGAUCCAGCCAUCCUAGUCCAGGCACCAGACAUAUCAUCAGUAAGUGCGAUUCUGUGGGCUCACUACAGCCCAGAGGAGCCAUGUAGCUCAAGAUGAAGAUUUCCAUAAGGUGAUGCAAAUUAGAACCCUUCUGCAGAGGUGUCUGAAAAGAGCCAAUCACUUGGAGAAAUGCUCGGAAACUGCUUGAAGAAAGGAAAGUUCGGUGAGAAGCAGGAAGUAUUUUAGUCUUUGGCUAAAAUGAAGUUGCUACUGUUGUUUCUGAAGAUGUUGUUUUAACAGCAUUGGGUUCUGAGCCGUGGUCACAGAGAACAAAGCGCUGGGUCUGUUGCUUUUAUCACUCAGCACAUUUAGCACUAAAAGAGAAAUGUUCCCUUCUUCCACUCUGUCUGGUUUUAAGAUCCCACCUGAUUUUCCUUUGCAUCGCUACUAAUUUAUCUCCUUGCUGCAAGGGUGUAGGUCUGUCUGCUGCGCCUCAAAUGCAAGUAACCCCAGGAAGUAAGAGACAUCCUCAAAUAACAGAUGAGGAAAUAGAGAAACUGUCCAAGGUCACAAAGUUAGUGGUAAGUGGCAACGCCAAGACUCAAACCAAAGUCCACACUUUUAACCACUAAGAACAAUAAUAAGUAAGUGGUAAUGACAAUAAUAACAACAACAAACACUGCACCAGGCACAGUUCCAAGCAUUUUAUAUAUAUUCUAUAGACUUAUAUUGUCCCUGGGGCAUUAGUGUUACCAUUCUACCCUCUUUACAGGUGAAGAGACCACAGCUCAGAGAGGCUAAAUGACAUGUCCAAGGUCACAUAGCUCUUAAAUACCUGAGUGAGUACCAACCCAAGCAGCUAGGUUUGGAGACUCAUCCUCUGCCACCUUUCUGCUGUCUGUCAACCUUGCUGCUCUGUUACUUAUGAUGACCCGAGACAAUACUGUUUGGCUGGCAAUUCUCUGGUAGUACUCUGACCAAAUUAACAUUCAAGCAACAUUCUUUCAUUCAAUGUAAUAAACUCUUAUUAUACUAUUACUUAUUUGGCACAUGGCUUCCUAGGAAUUGUCAGGGACAUAGCAGGAGGCAGGAGCCUCAGCCCUCUAGAACCUUAAAGUCCAUUGAGGGCUGAGAUUCUGUAAGUGCUACAUGUCUACUGAAUACCAGCUAGACCCUAGUAACUAUGCAGGGUCCUUCCACAUUCCCUGCUUCCUUUGAUCUGCACAUUUAUCCUGAGAUGUAAUAUUAUUUUCCCCUAUAUUCAAAUAAAGAAACAGUGACUUUCAGCAGAGAAAGGGAUCCCUCAGCCAUUGGCCCUAUUUCUACCUGACCAGGAAUUCUCUCCAGGCCACAUACAUGGGUUAACCAGCUUCACAUAUCACAGAAGUACUCACCUUUAAUUUUUUUCUUAAUAUUCUGUAUGCUUGCACAUGUGCACACGUGCGUGCACGCGCACGCACACACACAGCCUAGCUAAUAAGAACUAAAUAUAGAACUGAUUGCUGGGUUCAGUGUUUAUUCUAAUUCAUGCAGGUUCAUAAAGUCCACUUUAGACAAAAAUAAGGCUG
rnacentral:lncRNA from 1 species